rnacentral:rRNA from 1 species
GUGAAAUUGAACUCGCUGUGAAGAUGCAGUGUACCCGCGGCAAGACGGAAAGACCCCGUGAACCUUUACUAUAGCUUGACACUGAACAUUGAGCCUUGAUGUGUAGGAUAGGUGGGAGGCUUUGAAGUGUGGACGCCAGUCUGCAUGGAGCCGACCUUGAAAUACCACCCUUUAAUGUUUGAUGUUCUAACGUUGACCCGUAAUCCGGGUUGCGGACAGUGUCUGGUGGGUAGUUUGACUGGGGCGGUCUCCUCCUAAAGAGUAACGGAGGAGCACGAAGGUUGGCUAAUCCUGGUCGGACAUCAGGAGGUUAGUGCAAUGGCAUAAGCCAGCUUGACUGCGAGCGUGACGGCGCGAGCAGGUGCGAAAGCAGGUCAUAGUGAUCCGGUGGUUCUGAAUGGAAGGGCCAUCGCUCAACGGAUAAAAGGUACUCCGGGGAUAACAGGCUGAUACCGCCCAAGAGUUCAUAUCGACGGCGGUGUUUGGCACCUCGAUGUCGGCUCAUCACAUCCUGGGGCUGAAGUAGGUCCCAAGGGUAUGGCUGUUCGCCAUUUAAAGUGGUACGCGAGCUGGGUUUAGAACGUCGUGAGACAGUUCGGUCCCUAUCUGCCGUGGGCGCUGGAGAACUGAGGGGGGCUGCUCCUAGUACGAGAGGACCGGAGUGGACGCAUCACUGGUGUUCGGGUUGUCAUGCCAAUGGCACUGCCCGGUAGCUAAAUGCGGAAGAGAUAAGUGCUGAAAGCAUCUAAGCACGAAACUUGCCCCGAGAUGAGUUCUCCCUGACUCCUUGAGAGUCCUGAAGGAACGUUGAAGACGACGACGUUGAUAGGCCGGGUGUGUAAGCGCAGCGAUGCGUUGAGCUAACCGGUACUAAUGAACCGUGAGGCUUAACCUUACAACGCCGAAGGUGUUU